rnacentral:tRNA from 1 species
GGGAAUGUAAAAACAGUGACUGCACUCGGAGAAGCUUUUACUGUGACACCUUCGGACCGGGGUUCGACUCCCCGCACCUCCACCA